GACGAACGCUGGCGGCGUGCUUAACACAUGCCAGUCGAACGGAAAGGUCCCUUCGGGGGUACUCGAGUGGCGAACAGGUGAGUAACACGUGAGUAACCUGCCCUUGACUUCGGGAUAACUUCAGGAAACUGGGGCUAAUACCGGAUAGGAAUCCUUGCUGCAUGGUGGGGGUUGGAAAGCUUCGGCGGUUUUGGAUGGACUCGCGGCUUAUCAGCUUGUUGGUGGGGUAGUGGCUUACCAAGGCUUUGACGGGUAGCCGGCCUGAGAGGGCGACCGGCCACAUUGGGACUGAGAUACGGCCCAGACUCCUACGGGAGGCAGCAGUGGGGAAUAUUGCACAAGGGGCGGAAGCCUGAUGCAGCAACGCCGCGGGCGGGAGGACGGCCUUCGGGUUGUAAACCGCUUUCAGCAGGGGCGAAGCUUGUGGUGACGGUACCUGCAGAAGAAGCACCGGCUAACUACGUG
rnacentral:rRNA from 1 species